rnacentral:rRNA from 1 species
CAAUAGCGUAUAUUUAAGUUGUUGCAGUUAAAAAGCUCGUAGUUGGAUUUCUGCUGAUCGCUGUCGGUCUGCCGUCAGGUGUGUACUGGCAGUGUUUGGCAUCUAUUCGAGAUUGGGUGUCCACUUGAUUGUGUGCACUCGAUGUCGGAGCUAAUACUUUGAGAAAAUUAGAGUGUUCCACGCAGGCGCGUGCCUUGAAUACUGCAGCAUGGGAUAUAGGAAGGCCGAUUGAGCUUUCUUGUUGGUUCUCGGUUUGAUCGGAAUGAUUAAUAGGGAUAGUUGGGGGCAUUCGUAUUCAACUGUCAGAGGUGAAAUUCUUGGAUUUGUUGAAGACGGACUACUGCGAAAGCAUCUGCCAUGGAUGUUCUCAUUGA